rnacentral:tRNA from 1 species
GGGCUCGUAGCUCAGUUGGCUAGAGCGCGUCAUUUGCAAUGACGAGGUCAGGGGUUCGAGACCCCUCGAGUCCA